GGUGUUAAGUAACUAUGUCCUCAUCACAGAUAAAAAAAAAGAUAAAAAUUUGCUUGUUAUGGCCUGGUUACUUGAAAAGGCGUAGAGGAAGAUAAACAUUCUGAAUAUUUUAUUUUGAAGAAAUAAUUACUUGAUGCAAAGUGUGAAGGCAUACUUCAUUCAUCCUCCUGAAAGCUGAAUUGUUCGCACAGUUCCAAAAACAGACUGACAAAUUCCAGGACAUACUGCCAAAUUCUAGACCAUGGUACAACCAAGUUGGAUGCAAGCUUGAACGCUACAGAAAGUUCCAAUUGCAGAGAAAAAAACAAAUUAUUUCUAUGUAA